rnacentral:rRNA from 1 species
UAGGGAAUCUUCGGCAAUGGACGAAAGUCUGACCGAGCAACGCCGCGUGAGUGAAGAAGGUUUUCGGAUCGUAAAACUCUGUUGUUAGAGAAGAACAAGGACGUUAGUAACUGAACGUCCCCUGACGGUAUCUAACCAGAAAGCCACGGCUAACUACGUGCCAGCAGCCGCGGUAAUACGUAGGUGGCAAGCGUUGUCCGGAUUUAUUGGGCGUAAAGCGAGCGCAGGCGGUUUCUUAAGUCUGCUGUGAAAGCCCCCGGCUCAACCAGGGAGGGUCAUUGGAAACUGGGAGACUUGAGUGCAGAAGAGGGGGGUGGAAGUCCAUGUGGAGCGGUGAAAUGCGUAGAUAUAUGGAGGAACACCAGUGGCGAAGGCGGCUCUCUGGUCUGUAACUGACGCUGAGGGUCGAAAGCGUGGGGAGCAAACAGG